CAGUGAAAUUGAACUCGCUGUGAAGAUGCAGUGUACCCGCGGCAAGACGGAAAGACCCCGUGAACCUUUACUAUAGCUUGACACUGAACAUUGAGCCUUGAUGUGUAGGAUAGGUGGGAGGCUUUGAAGUGUGGACGCCAGUCUGCAUGGAGCCGACCUUGAAAUACCACCCUUUAAUGUUUGAUGUUCUAACGUGGACCCGUGAUCCGGGUUGCGGACAGUGUCUGGUGGGUAGUUUGACUGGGGCGGUCUCCUCCUAAAGAGUAACGGAGGAGCACGAAGGUUGGCUAAUCCUGGUCGGACAUCAGGAGGUUAGUGCAAUGGCAUAAGCCAGCUUGACUGCGAGCGUGACGGCGCGAGCAGGUGCGAAAGCAGGUCAUAGUGAUCCGGUGGUUCUGAAUGGAAGGGCCAUCGCUCAACGGAUAAAAGGUACUCCGGGGAUAACAGGCUGAUACCGCCCAAGAGUUCAUAUCGACGGCGGUGUUUGGCACCUCGAUGUCGGCUCAUCACAUCCUGGGGCUGAAGUAGGUCCCAAGGGUAUGGCUGUUCGCCAUUUAAAGUGGUACGCGAGCUGGGUUUAGAACGUCGUGAGACAGUUCGGUCCCUAUCUGCCGUGGGCGCUGGAGAACUGAGGGGGGCUGCUCCUAGUACGAGAGGACCGGAGUGGACGCAUCACUGGUGUUCGGGUUGUCAUGCCAAUGGCACU
rnacentral:rRNA from 1 species